CGGCAGGCUUAACACAUAGCAAGUCGAGGGGUAUGCCGAUUUAUCGGCAGAGACCGGCGCACGGGUGCGUUAACGCGUAUGCAAUCUACCUUCACAGAGGGAUAGCCCAGAGAAAAUUUGGAUUAAUACCUCAUAGUAUAGCAGUUUCGCAUGAAACCACUAUUAAAGUUCCAACGGUGAAAGAUGAGCAUGCGUCCCAUUAGCUAGAUGGUAAGGUAACGGCUUACCAUGGCUACGAUGGGUAGGGGUCCUGAGAGGGAGAUCCCCCCACACUGGUACUGAGACACGGACCAGACUCCUACGGGAGGCAGCAGUGAGGAAUAUUGGACAAUGGGCGAAAGCCUGAUCCAGCAAUGCCGCGUGCAGGAUGAAGGCCUUCGGGUUGUAAACUGCUUUUGUACGGAACGAAACGGUGAGCUCUAAUACAGUUUGCUAAUGACGGUACCGUAAGAAUAAGCACCGGCUAACUACGUG
rnacentral:rRNA from 1 species